GAUGAACGCUGGCGGCGUGCCUAAUACAUGCAAGUAGAACGCUGAAGCUUGGUGCUUGCACCGAGCGGAUGAGUUGCGAACGGGUGAGUAACGCGUAGGUAACCUGCCUCUUAGCGGGGGAUAACUAUUGGAAACGAUAGCUAAUACCGCAUAAAAGACGAUAUCGCAUGAUAUUGAUUUGAAAGGUGCAAUUGCAUCACUAAGAGAUGGACCUGCGUUGUAUUAGCUAGUUGGUGAGGUAACGGCUCACCAAGGCGACGAUACAUAGCCGACCUGAGAGGGUGAUCGGCCACACUGGGACUGAGACACGGCCCAGACUCCUACGGGAGGCAGCAGUAGGGAAUCUUCGGCAAUGGGGGCAACCCUGACCGAGCAACGCCGCGUGAGUGAAGAAGGUUUUCGGAUCGUAAAGCUCUGUUGUAAGAGAAGAACGAGUGUGAGAGUGGAAAGUUCACACUGUGACGGAACUACC
rnacentral:rRNA from 1 species